CUCUGCUUCCCAGCUGCCAUGAGCUGAGCAGUUUUCUUCCAGCACAUCCUUCUGCCAUGAUGUUCAGCCUCACCUCAAAUCCAGAGUACUGGAGCAGAUGACCAUGCACCAAAACCUCCAAAACAACUGAAGAACAUGGAAGCAGCCCUCCCAGGUCUCUGACUGCAGGAGGUGAUCCAGACUGAAGACCUCCCCAGCUGCCUUGUCGACACAUCCCAGCCUUCACACCCAGGCCACGCUUCUCAUGGUGAUGAUGGAGCCCAGUGGAGAUACUAAGGCAGAGCACCAGGGAUUUGCAGAAAUGCCUACCCCAUCAUGUCUUUACCUGGCCAACACAGAACAACAGAUGUUUCCAAGCCAUUAAAGGAACUGGGACCCUCUGGAAUUUGAAGCUUUCCUGAGUGAGCACAGCCCACCAAGAGUUCAGUGGGGUGCCAAGAGACACAAGGAUUCCUAAAUACUUCUUGAAAGUCCACAAAUAGAUUCCUGCUGAAACAGUUUAGAUGGGCAAACCACAUUUUAACAAUUGAAUUAAGAGUCAACAAGAUAUGUAUUUCCAAAUACAUGUUUUUAUGAUUUUUUUUAAUGCUUAAGAUUUGUGUGCCAGUUUGUUGUUAAGGUGACAACAUUUAUGUGACACCGUUUCUAGUAGCCUAUUAUAAAAGUUUUGUGUUCUUGGAAA